UAGGGAAUAUUGGACAAUGGGUGAGAGCCUGAUCCAGCCAUGCCGCGUGCAGGAAGAAGGCCUUCUGGGUUGUAAACUGCUUUUAUCUGGGGAUAAAAAGGCCUUGCGAGGCAAACUGAAGGUACCAGAUGAAUAAGCCACGGCUAACUACGUGCCAGCAGCCGCGGUAAUACGUAGGUGGCAAGCGUUGUCCGGAUUUAUUGGGUUUAAAGGGUGCGUAGGCGGUUUAUUAAGUCAGUGGUGAAAGACGAUAGCUUAACUAUCGAGGUGCCAUUGAUACUGAUGAACUUGAGUGCACACGAGGUAAGCGGAAUGGACGGUGUAGCGGUGAAAUGCAUAGAUAUCGUCCAGAACACCGAUAGUGAAGACAGCUUACCAGAGUGCAACUGACGCUGAGGCA
rnacentral:rRNA from 1 species